rfam:Loxodonta africana unplaced genomic scaffold scaffold_35, whole genome shotgun sequence.
GCGUUUGUGGUUCAGUGGUAGAAUUCUUGCCUUCCAUGCUGGAGACCUGGGUUUGAUUCUCCACCAAUGCA